AUACGUAGGUGGCGAGCGUUGUCCGGAUUUACUGGGUGUAAAGGGCGCGUAGGCGGGAAGGCAAGUCAGGUGUGAAAUCUAUGGGCUCAACCCAUAAACUGCACUUGAAACUGUUUUUCUUGAGUGUCGGAGAGGUAGAUGGAAUUCCUAGUGUAGCGGUGAAAUGCGUAGAUAUUAGGAGGAACACCAGUGGCGAAGGCGAUCUGCUGGACGAUAACUGACGCUGAGGCGCGAAAGCGUGGGGAGCAAACAGGAUUAGAGGCCCUGGUAGUCCACGCCGUAAACGAUGAAUACUAGGUGUGGGUGGGACUGACCCCAUCCGUGCCGCAGCUAACGCAAUAAGUAUUCCACCUGGGGAGUACGGCCGCAAGGCUGAAACUCAAAUGAAUUGACGGGU
rnacentral:rRNA from 1 species